UUCUCAUAUAUAUUUAAACACAAUGUUUUCAAGUAUUAUUUACGUUUUAAGUAAUUGCUAUAGCCGCUAGGACACCCUAUCAAUUUAGUCUAUUGCUUAAAUGUAAAAAAUAUUUUUUUAAGGUCUCUGAUUAAAAUAAUAUAGUUUACCUACCGUGGCUAAAAACGAAACCCUAGCUAGCUAAGGAGGUGGCGAAAAAAUAACGCAGGCCUAUCAUUUUUUUUUCAUGAAAAGGUAGAGCACUGGAAACACAAGUUUUCAUUGAAACUGCCAAAAAUAUUGAAAAAGUAUUCAUUAGAAAAUUACACUGCAAAAUUAAGUGGGUCAAAUCAAACAAUGGAGUGUAAAUAAUACUCUACGUAAGACAGUCGUUGUUUUUUUAUAUAAAAUAGUUCCCUUUUUUCCUGAAAACUGCGUUUUGAAGUUUUCUUUUUGUGGAUUUAUGUAGUCCCUCUUCAAGCAAUAAUCAGCCAUCAUGCUAAUAUCCCUUCUUCCUUGGUAAAGUUUCUCCAUCACCUUUAUGUAUUGAUGGAACCUCUCUCCCUGUUCCUCGCGGACUGGUCCAAGAUUUUGAAGGAAAAGAGUGUAAUGUAGGUGCAGGGAGUGAGCAACAGGCACCGAAUUAUAAUUAUUACCAUUGUGUAACAAGACAUUCUUCAAACUUCUCUUAGAAAAAUCUAUAAUUAACCUCUAUGAUGUGGAAUCGUAAUUGUUAGCUCCGAGUUUCAUGAGUACUUCAUGAAUAUUAUUACACUAGUGAACCCUCUUGAAAUAAAUAAAAGAAAUAUGG